rnacentral:lncRNA from 1 species
UCAAACCGUGCCUGCCUUCUCCACCCACUUCUGCAACAAACUCCCAGAGCUGCGAUCGUUGAUGACCUAGAAACUCCCUGAGACUUACUGUAUACGCAAAAGUGCAUGCAACUGCACUAGCACCGGAAGAUUACUUCGAAGCCACUUGAAGCUGAAAACCAAGGAAAACGUUCUAAGGUGGCUGCUAUUGGACGGUAACGGAGGCAGGUGGAGGACCAUUGGUCAAAUACCAGGGGGAAGGAGUCCUUGGAAAAGAAGCCAGACAUGAAUCAUGCAAAUGUUUCUUUCAUCAAAUUGCCACCGAAGAGAGCAGGGGAGUCCCAGGCACAGGACAGCUUGGAGGCUCAGAAAGGCUGGCAUCAGGCCCAAUGUCCACAACUAACUCUAUGUAUCUCAUCUCUGGAGUUGUCUGGUACUGCACAACUGAUUUCUGGAUGACCAUGGGUAUUGAGGUGUAGCUUCACUACAGAAUCAAACUGCAGCCCUUUGGAGGUAACUCAAAACAAAAGGUUUCAACUCUAGACCAACCUUGGCAUUUAUACUUCUGUAAAACUCUUUGACAUUUCGUGGGGGUACUUUUAACCUUCAA